rnacentral:piRNA from 1 species
UGGGAGGUCACAUAAUAGUGAUGUGGUC